GCAGGUGGAAUGGUGGGAGAGGCCGUGAGUUUGGUCCUCAACGCAGUUUUAAAACAAGAAUUCUGGGCCGGGGAUUUAGCUCAGUGGUGCCGCCACCGGCCUCAAAAGCGCAAGAUACCAAGUUCAGUCCCUGGUACUGCAAAACAAAACAAACAAACAAGAAUUCAUGUUGAUUACGCCGCCGCACCCCCAGCAAGCAGCCUGCCCCGGGCAGAGGAGCAGCUGGAGACCCCUUCCGUGGCAGAGAGAACUGAAGGAGGUGUCCCCCAGAGCCCAGGAAGCUGAAGAGGAACUUUACGUCCCCACCAGCCUGUGUGACCUCGGACCAGUUUCUCACCCUCCUACACCUACUUUUUCCUGCUGCGAAGGACAUGCCCGCUCCAACCGGGGCUGCUGAUGAAGGGGAGCAGUUGACGGGCAUCCCCAGCCGCGCACACAGCGCUGGAGGUGUGCGGGGUGGACGUGCAGGCCGGCGGUGGUCCGAGGCAGUGGGCAGGACGGGGCUCCUGCCANNNNNNNNNNNNNNNNNNNNGUCUCCCCGCCUGCUUCCGGAAGCUUCCGAGCGACUCUAACUGAAGCCCACGAAGCCUCCACCUGCCAAGACAGGAAAGCCACAUCCUGGCUGGCCCAGUGAGGCUGGCUGUUCUGACCCGGGCCACAGGUCCCAGGCCGGGCAGAGCCGGUGGGGUUGGGAGGCCACAGAUGCCCGAGUGCUGGGGAAAUGGCACUGAGGACACUGGGACCCCCGUGCCUCGGCUGGGCCAUCUCUGGGGCUCGCUCAGGUGCCCGCUUUGGGAAGAGCCAGGAGCUGAUAUACCAAGACUGAAGACAAAGGAGACACCGGAGUCACCAGAUGGUGAAGACGACAUGUGCCCCGAGGACAAGCAUGGGCAGGAAGGGUCCGCAGGAUGUUGGGGCAGCCAGCGCAGAACCCUGGGCUGGGGAGCAGCAGCGCCCAGAGGGGGAGCUGGGACAGGCAGGUGCCUGAGCACAGCGUCCUGGUGCAAGCUGUUCACUGUUCCUACUCCUGGCCUUGCACUUGGGCUCUCUGAGACUUCUUCCAGUACAUUCCAUUUUAUCACCCAUUCAAGUUUCAACUCGUUUCUGUUGCUUGCAAACAGGGAGCUCUGUCAUACAUCAGGGAAGGCUGUCCUAGGCAUGACCUGGCAUUCUCUUGUUCUUUCUCCCUUUUCUUUCCUUUUUUUUUUUUUUUUUUUGUACUGGGGAUCGAACUCAGGUCCUUGCACUUGUGAGGAAGGCCAUGGAAACACUGAGCUAAAUCCCUAGCCCUUUUUUCUUUCUUGUACUGGAGCUAGAACCUAGAGCCCCCAUAUUCUAGAUAAACACUCUACCACUGAGCUACAUCCCCAGCCCUUUUUAUUUUUAUUCUGAGACAAGGUCUCACUAAGUCACCCAGGCUGACCUCACACUUGUGAUCCUCCUGCCCCAGCCUCCUGGGCACCCUGGAUUACGGCUGUGCACCACCAUGCCUGGCUGGCCUUUUCUCCUACUGCAGUGAUGACUCACUAGACUCUUGGUAUCUGAGUUCACAUCCUGAGCCAAGCAACCUGUUGGGCCAGCUCAUGCUCCAUGUCACUCAGGGUCCACUCAGCCAGGCCUCAGAAGGAGGCAGGGCGUCCGGAUGCUGUGGGGCCGGUGGAAGGCUGGUGGACAUGUCGCGUGCCGCCAUGCGGCUCCUAGAGACACCGCCAAAGCCUCCAGUCAUAAUCUUGGCAGCCGGCAAUGCUGAGAAAGGGGCCUCUCCCCAGUUCUUCCCCAAAUUUCUCACAGGGAAGUGGCGACUCCAGGCUGGGCUCACUCCUCACCAGCAGAGGCUUUGAUGGGCCACGCUCAAGGAGGUGUCGGGGCUUGGUGUACGAGCUCGGUGGUGCUGCAGUGAAAUGCUGGGCAGCUGCCUGUGAAGAAAAUAAGGUUAUUUAGCUCACACUUCUGGGAAUUCGGAGCCAAGAGCGGGCAGCCCAUUGGUUUGGGCAGCAGACUGCUGCAGGGCAUGUGUUGGACUGAAGAAAGGGAGACAGAGACAGAAAGAGGGAGAAAGAGAGACAGAGAGAAACAAAGACAGAGACAAAAACAGAUACAGAGAGAAAGAGACAGAGACAAAGACAGCGAGAUCUGACUUCUUUGCAUCUGUCUAACUGCUUCUGGCCAUAGCUUUCAGAGCAGCUUUACUUCACCUUGGAAAUCUGAGCAAAUUCCCACAGGCCACCUCCAGCCUCGGGGAGAGUAUUCUGGGAAAUGUAGUUCCAGCCUAACCACGGCAGACAGAGCAAAACCACCACAGGGACCUGGCUCCUGUGGCUCACUCCUGGGCAUUCUGUCCUUGGCAAACCUCUCCUCCUGGAGCCUCCAGAGGGAGCAGUCAGCCUUGGGUGCUCUCUUUUCAGGAGCAGCAGAAGCCAGGUUGAACCAGCAGGUUUUCCAAAGGUGUGUCCCCUCCUGCUGAGGCAAACUGUUGGGAGAGGGGCCAGGGUGGUGGCCAUGAAGGGAACCCAGGGGCCAAACCCUCCCCUAGCAUGCAUAUGGUCCUGGGCUGCCCCAGCACUNNNNNNNNNNNNNNNNNNNNNNNNNNNNNCAUAUGGUCCUGGGCUGAUCCCCAGCACUGAGAAAAAAAAAAAGACCCAAAGAGUAGCUCCCUCCCCAGACACAUACCAGCGGACAAAGAAACAAUACCCCAGGGGAAUAUGAGCUCAUAAAGAAAAAUAAGACCCCAAAAUAAACAAGAAGAAAAUUAAUGGACUAGUGAGAACAAGAAUUUGAAAUAUAAUAAAAAUCCUCUAAGAGGAAAAUGGAGAUUGUUCUAUAUUUGGAACAGGAAUGGGAAUGUAUAGAGGAUUUCUCAAGUAUACAAACUAGGAUAGCUGAAACACAAAAUUCAAUACAGAAGUGGAGCGGCAGACAGGUUCACUAAGAAUAAAGUCAGAAGCUGGAAGAUGUGGUUGGCAAACUCUCCCAGAAUGUGUUGGGGAGGAACAAAAAGAUGGAAAGCACAGGGCAAAGUGAGUAAAUAUGGAGGAUAGAGAUGUCUUUGAAGGAGAGUUCCAGAAGAGGAGAGGAGAGGAGAAAAAUCUGGAGUAAAUAUUUGAAAAAUAAUAAAUAAAUGAAUUCCCAGGCUCUGAGGGUGUGAUUCACCAGUAAAGGUGCUUGCCUAGCAUGAAUAAGGCUGAAUCCAAUCCUAAAUUGUUGUUGUUGUUGUUUUGUUGUUUGUUUGUUUGUUUGAGACAGGGUCUCCCUGUGCAGUUGAGAAUGACCUGGAACUCACAGCGAUCUCCUGCCUGAGCCUCCCGAGGGCUGGGAUUACAAGGCCUGCAUCACCACGCCUGGUAAAUCAUUCUUUUUUUAAUGAGCAAACUAAAGAACACCAAAAAACCAGAUCCUAGAAUUUCCAGAGUUAGAGCUGGGUCGCCAAGACAGCAGGUAAGGGAAACAAUGACACUGGAGAGCAGCAGAGUGAACUCAGCCAAAGUGCGAGUUUGAAGAGCUUCCAGAUGGCUAGGAUGGGGCCCUGAGCUUGAUCCCCGGUACAGAAGGGAAAAAGAAAAACUUCCAGAGAAGGACGACAAAGAGCAAAACGAAGCCCACACAUCCCAUUAGGAACGAGCAUCAUUCCAACCUUAAUUUUCUCAAUAACAAUGAUAGACUCAAGAAAAAGAACGUCAGCAAAAUUUUAAUUUUAGUACAAAAUUAAAAUAAAGGCAUUCUCAAACUUUCAGGGCCCCAGAAGAUCCAUUACCUAACAAAGCCUUGAGGAACACUUUUGGAGGAAGUACACUAGUGAGAAAAGGAUUACAUGUCGGAGAACACAGAAGAUACAGAAUGACCAAAGUACUCUGCAAGGCAGCUGGUAAUCUACGAAAGAACAGAUAAAAACACUCCCCUCCCGGAACUACAUCCACUCACACUCUAGGUCAGCAGCCCCUCACCUUUCUGGCACGACGGACCGGUGCUGCGGGAGACAGUGUUUCCACAGAUGGGAAGCCCGGAUGGUUUUGGGAUGAUUCGAGUGCGGGCGCCUCGAGUAUAUUGUGCACUUUAUUUUCAUUAUUGUUACACUGUAAUACACAAUGAGAUAAUUACACGACUGUCCAGAGUGCAGGAUCAGUGCGAGCCCUCAGCUGGAUUCCCUGCAAGUAGCCGUCCCGACCGGAGGUGAUGGGCGACAGUGUGUUGCUUAUGUCCCAGCUACUCUGUAAUCGCCCUUCGGCGGCCAUCAAAUCCCUGCUUCACAAAGAGAGGGUGCUGAAGUGGAAGCGGGCUUGUCAGUGUUUUUGUGGCAACAGCAGGAUAUUCUGCUGAGGUGGAUUAACGGAUGGCCCACUUAGAAUGCCCCGCUGAACUGAAUCAGCGGGUUUGGGCGUGGAGGAUGCACCUGAGGAUUGUUGCCGAGAGCAUAAAAGAGAACUUGAGGGGAAGAUCGUGGGCUGUUGAUCUUCUAGGAGAAGCUUGCUGCGGAUAUUUUCCUUUUCUGGUCAGAGGAGGAGCACAGGGCCUUGCUGUGGCUGGGAAUGGCUGCUGUUCUCAUUGAGAGAGCUCUGAUCUUCACCUGGAGUGUUACUUCCUGGCUUGAUCCCUCAGCCUGACGGCACAAAGGAGCAGGUUUUCUGGCUUCCACCACUGGCCUUUGUGCCUUCCUGGUGCAGAACCUCAAUGCGGACUUUCACGAGGCAUUGCCAUGGGCUCUAGGCCUCUGGCUGGACUCGAGGAGGACAUUGCCUUGGACUCUAGGCCUUCAGCUGGAUUUGUGCGGGACCACUGUCAUGAGAUCCACCCUCUCGGCUGGAUUCUUUGGGUCUCUGAUGUGUGGACAGAUCUCUUGCACUCCUUUCUAUUUGACUUUUUGGGUGACUAUUAUAAAAUAAUACUAUAAAUUGUGUGUCUUGUAUUAAACCUAUUCCCUUGCAAACCCUGGCUACAAUAUCUGCCUUCACUUUAAUGUUGGAUGUAUGAAGAUUUGAAGUUGUGUGAAACAUACCUCUAAGGCCACCAUUUGUGAUCUCAAGCAGUUGUUGGUCCUGUUCUAGUAUAGACAGAGUUGAUUCACUGGGUUUUUUUCACAAGUGGCUUGGCGAUCCAGGCCUUCCCAGUUUGGGAGUCCUGAGACCACACACUAGCUGGCAGAAUAAAGGACCUGGUUUAGCCUCUUUCAAAACCACUGCUUCUUUUUUUUUUGUGUGUGUGUGUGGGGUAUUGAACUCAGGAUUUGGUGCUUGCAACGCAGGCACGGUGCCACUGAGCUCAAUCCCCAGCCCUUCUAACUUAGCUUUGGAUGCAACCACUUUAUCUGCCAACUUGAAGUUAUUGUUCUCUUUUGAAGUGACAGAUUGAGUUCACUGAGCAGGCUGACUAUCUCACUGAGUAGCAAGUUUUGCGACCCCUUCUCUGUCAAUG
ensembl:lincRNA